GUAUUCCUAAUGCUAUAGAGUUAUUUUUAUAUUCUUCCAUUCUGGUAAAAGGCUACGUGGAGAAAUUGGAAACAGGGAAAUAAAUGUAAGUGACCUAUUUGAAGUCAAAUCAGUAUUCUAACAGGCUACCUCGUGUUUUCAGCCUUUCGGAAUACAGAUGAUAUUCAAAUCGUGGUCAGUGAUCAGAAAUCCCUAGAUGAGGUAAAGCUAAUGGCUGGCUCCAGUCUGCUAUCACUACAGAAUUCUUUGGACAAUCAAAGUGAAAUAGGAUUUUUUUAUAACUAUUACACAUAUUUUCACUUCCCU